GGAGGCUCUCAGCCUUCAUACCAGUUCAUCAGAAAAAUUCCUGGGCUCACAAAACUUCAUGGCAGUGAAAUGUUUUUAAUUCCAGCCUAUGCAGGAUUCGUCUGACCAGGAUGAAGGAACUUGGGCCUAGUGAUGUGAAGCUAUACACCCCCAAAAUGACAUCACCCAACUGCAAAGUGGAGGAACCAAGCUUCCCCAGGUUAUUACAUACUAUUGAGGAGAUUUCCCUCUGCUAACAGUAGGUUCUUGCAACCAUUUGGAAAAUGACAGACUCUACUCACGCCAUCAUCAUCAUCCAUUCUCCUUACCAUCUGCCUUCCUUCCAAGUCAACAGACACAUACCUCUUCCUGUAAGGCAAAUCUAAUCAAUGCUUAUCCUCCAACUGUCAGACCCUACUAGUGGCACAUCCAUCAGCAGCACAAGAGUUGCAGAUGUCAUAGGAUGGACCCAAGCUGAGGCAGGUGCCUUGUCUCCCUCACUGAGAUAACAAAGAGAAGAGAAGAAAUGGAGGCCUGUUCUCAAAUGGAGGAUUACUACAGCUUAAGGUUAAUGUAGAAGUAAAAGUGAAGGGAGUUCCCUGGUGGUCUAGUGGUUAGGACUCAGUGCUUUCACCCCUAUGGCCCAAGGUCAAUCCUUGGGCUGGGAAAUGAGAUGGCACAUCAAGCCGCUGCCUGCAAAGACCAUACCAAGAUAGGCCAUGAAAAAGAAAAACAUCAAAGUGAAGCUAGAGACAUCAAGUUCAACCCCUUGUCUGAAAAGUUGGGAAGCUGGUCUUCCAAGGUUGUCUGGAUUGGCCUCAAAUCACAUCUGAUGAGCAGCCGCAGCCUCUUCAAGUCCAGCGAUCACUGGCUUCACACAUGUGUCCCCAGUCCUGUCUUUGCAGAAACACAGGAAAAACAAAUAGGAGAGGUAGUCUGCGAUAAUGGCACUUCAGAAAAGAGGAUUUGAUGUCCAGACUGUAAACACCACCAAUUGCCCCAGAUGAAUGCUACAGAAAUGCUGAAGACUUUACUGCAAUUCCUUUUAAAGUCAGAUAUUCUCUUGUGAAAGAUGUUCGAACAAUCUAAUGAUGGAUGUUCAUUAGUUUACUGCUGUCAAGACAAGCUACCACUCCACAUCUCUGAUGCUGAUCAUGUUUUUGCAGCCAUGAUUGAGUUGUUGAAAAACAAACAAACAAACAUACACUCCACAGAGCUCUCUCGACUGUGUCUAAACCAGCACCAACUUGAAAUAUCAUGGGCUUACUCAGCGGCAUCAAAACCCACAAAAGCAAAUAGGUUAGAUCCAUCCCAGAGACUUUUCUGCAGCAGUAAAUGGAUUUGCCCUCUUUAGAGCAGGGAGCACAGUUCCAACACAAUUAUUCUUAUUGGAAUAGACUAAGGAAUUUACUUCAAAUGAGGUUGCUGGUUGUCCUGCAGAAGCUGUAUCAGAAUAAAUAUCCAGCUACUCUUCAGAGGCAUAAUUGGUUCAUUCUCCCCUGAGACAUUUGUGCUCCAGGAACUGUAGAUGGCCAACUAUGUUUAGGUGGAGGAAAAAUUAUUUUACUCAACGGACACGUGUGUCACCCAGGGUGAAGAACGCGUAAGAAGUGCCAUAGCACUGGAAACUGAGCAGGCUUUUCUCCCUGCUAGCCGGACAUGGUCUACGUGGGAACAUCGCCUAAUGGCUUAUUUGUGAGGACGGCCAAGUAAGGAUGGGGUGACAAACAGAAGACAAGAUAACCGUAAGUGCUCCUCUGAAUUUAUUUCUAUGUCAUCGUUCUUGGGGGGUCUGGAACCGAGAUUCCUUACCUGUUGCUUUGGGCUGAGACUUUCAUGCUGAUUGCUUCAGAGGCAAUUUGCAUUCGAAAAUUUGCAAGUCAGGGAUGAAGCCUCACAGAUUUACCUUUUCUUUUAUUAAUUGGUGUAUGUCUCUGAGCCAUAUCAUCUGUUUCUUUCUUUCUUUUUUUUUAGUCUUUUUUUUGCUUUUUCUAGGGCCACUCCCUUGGCAUAUGGAGGUUCCCAGGCUAGGGGUCUAAUUGGAGCUGUAGCUGCCAGCCUAUGCCAGAGCCACAACAACGCGGGAUCCCAGCCGCGUCUGCAACCUACACCACAGCUCACGGCAAUGCCGGAUCCUUAACCCAUUGAGCAAGGCCAGGGAUCGAACCCACAACCUCAUGGUUCCUAGUCAGAUUCAUUAAUCAACCACGAUGGGAACUCCAUUUCAUCAGUUUCUUGGGAAAAGUAACAACUCUGAGUCCUCAUGAGGACAUUGCAACUAAUGGCAAAAGUCAAGUCCCCCUUGGAAAAAAAUAAUCUCAGUGAUUCCUGGAUUAAAAUUCCACCUGUAAUUUGCUUCCUUUACUUUGAAUGAUAUCUGUGUUUUCAUUGACUAGUUCCUAGUGUUGGCUUUUUAAUAACAUCCUGAGGGAGUCAUGAGAUUGUUGGCAGUUUUAGCAAAUUACUGGAAUUUCUGUCACUCACCUUUUUGUGUUCUAAUAAUAAUAAUAAUAUAAUAAAUAAUUAUUAUUACUGAGUGCCUCCUAUCUGCUAAGCACUAGGUAAUUUUUAUAGCAAUCCUGUUUGAUGUUGGUGCUAUUGCU
rnacentral:tRNA from 1 species